rnacentral:rRNA from 1 species
AGGACUAACGCUGGCGGCGUGCCUAACACAUGCAAGUCGAACGAGGGGUAGCAAUACCCCUAGUGGCAGACGGGUGAGUAACACGUAGUCAACCUACCUCUUAAUGGGGGAUAACUAGCCGAAAGGUUAGCUAAUACCGCAUACGAUCGUCGAGUGGCAUCACACGACGAUGAAAGGAGCAAUCCGUUGAGAGAGGGGACUGCGUCCCAUUAGUUAGUUGGUGGGGUAAUGGCCUACCAAGACUCCGAUGGGUAGCUGGCUUGAGAGAGCGACCAGCCACACUGGAACUGAGACACGGUCCAGACUCCUACGGGAGGCAGCAGUGAGGAAUUUUCCGCAAUGGGGGAAACCCUGACGGAGCGACGCCGCGUGUGGGAAGAAGGCCUUCGGGUCGUAAACCACUGUCGAGGGGACGAUAUUGACGGUACCCCUGGAGGAAGCCCGGCUAACUACGUGCCAGCAGCCGC